rnacentral:rRNA from 1 species
UACGGAGGAUCCAAGCGUUAUCCGGAAUCAUUGGGUUUAAAGGGUCCGUAGGCGGUUUAAUAAGUCAGUGGUGAAAGCCCAUCGCUCAACGGUGGAACGGCCAUUGAUACUGUUAAACUUGAAUUAUUAGGAAGUAACUAGAAUAUGUAGUGUAGCGGUGAAAUGCUUAGAGAUUACAUGGAAUACCAAUUGCGAAGGCAGGUUACUACUAAUGGAUUGACGCUGAUGGACGAAAGCGCGGGUAGCGAACAGG